UACGUAGGUGACCAGCGUUGUCCGGAUUUACUGGGCGUAAAGAGCGCGCAGGCGGUCGUUCAAGUCGAGUGUGAAAGCCCCCGGCUCAACUGGGGAGGGUCACUCGAUACUGCCAAGCUAGAGUAUCGGAGAGGUUGGUGGAAUUCUCGGUGUAGAGGUGAAAUUCGUAGAUAUCGAGAGGAACACCGGUGGCGAAGGCGGCCAACUGGACGAAUACUGACGCUGAGACUCGAAAGCGUGGGGAGCAAACAGG
rnacentral:rRNA from 1 species